rnacentral:rRNA from 1 species
GUACACUCCUACGGGAGGCAGCAGUGGGGAAUAUUGGACAAUGGGCGCAAGCCUGAUCCAGCCAUGCCGCGUGAGUGAUGAAGGCCCUAGGGUUGUAAAGCUCUUUCACCGGUGAAGAUAAUGACGGUAACCGGAGAAGAAGCCCCGGCUAACUUCGUGCCAGCAGCCGCGGUAAUACGAAGGGGGCUAGCGUUGUUCGGAUUUACUGGGCGUAAAGCGCACGUAGGCGGACUAUCAAGUCAGGGGUGAAAUCCCGGGGCUCAAUCCCGGAACUGCCUUUGAUACUGGUAGUCUUGAGUUCGAGAGAGGUGAGUGGAAUUCCGAGUGUAGAGGUGAAAUUCGUAGAUAUUCGGAGGAACACCAGUGGCGAAGGCGGCUCACUGGCUCGAUACUGACGCUGAGGUGCGAAAGCGUGGGGAGCAAACAGGAUUAGAUACCCGGGUAGUCCC